AUUAAUACCUGGGGGAGCAAACAGCUGUGCAUAUCUCUCGAUCAGUGUUAUAGAGGGCAGAUAAUUUAUGCGUUUACCCUGUAUAAGCUUUAUACAGAGUAAAAUGGGUUUAUUUGGGGUUUGGAGCCCAUUGGGCGCUGGGUGUCUGAGUGCUGGAAAUAGGUGACCUGCUGAGCAGGGUUUGGUUAAAGCCUCCAGCUUUGGGGGCGUGGACCAGACCUUGAUCUGUGUUUGCAGCAGACUAGUGUGUCUGGCUCAACAAGGCAGAGUUCUGGAGUCUCAAGCUGGCAGUGGAAAACGGCUCAGAGGUAAUCCCAGCACGUCAGGUGGCAGUCCGAAGGGUGUCUCUCUGACUGAAUCUGUCACACUGGGUUGGCUGUGAUACCGGAGCCUCCAAAUAUUGCAGCCAACGAAGAUGAGUGAGAAGUUCCGGCAGCGUCACGAGUACCCGGAUGAAUGAACGUUGGGGGGAACGUUGGCAAGACAGAAAGUGGGAUUUGUCCAACACGAGCGGCCGCCGGACAGAACCCACGGGCCGGGCUGGGGCCCGCCUGGGACACAGGAGAAGUGGGGGAACAGAAAUCCGUGACCCAAAAUUGGGGUGUUGGAAAUGAGGCCUCAUUGGUGGAAAAAAUAUUGUGGGGAUGAGCUGUGUCACCCACCUCCCUUUGGGUGCCUGAAAGAAAGAUUUCAGAGUAGCAGCCGUGUUAGUCUGUAUUCGCAAAAAGAAAAGGAGUACUUGUGGCACCUUAGAGACUAACAAAUUUAUUAGAGCAUAAGCUUUCGUGAGCUACAGCUCACUUCAUCGGAUGCAUUUGAUUCGCUUCAUCCUCCUGGCUUCCACCCCCCAUCUCCUGGGGCCAUCUGCGGCCAUCUGGGCCCUGAUCUGUGGAGACAUCCUGAGCAGAGCGGCCGGAAAGAGGGACCCCGACGCCGUCGCCUCUCCCCCGGCUUAACCCCCAACCCGGGAGGAAACGGGAGACAAAGGAUUCCUGCCUUCUGCCAAAGCUAUUAAAGGAACAGAACAAAGUCAUGUUGAAUCCCCUGCUUUUCACCUAAGAUAUCUGCUGGAAUUAACAAGGACUGUACCGGGGAAAGGAUUGGGCCCAGACUAGGAAGGAAUCUAGUCUGGGAAAGAAGCUUAUUGUAUUCACUCUGAGAGUGAGAUUUACCUGUAUUCAGUUUCUUAAAUGUAUUAGGCUUUGACUUGCGUGUUUUGUUUUAUUUUGCUUGGUAACUUACUUUGUUCUGUCUGUUAUUACUUGAAACCACUUAAAUCUGACUU